rnacentral:lncRNA from 1 species
GGGGGAUGACUGUGAGUGAAUGUGUGAGGCAAAGGGGAUGGCGCUGAGUGAUUCUCUGAGGCAGGGGGAUGACUGUGAGUGAGUUUCUGAGGCAGGGGGAUGACCCUGAGUGACUGUGUUUUUGUUUUUUAUUUUCUGUUUUUAGGGUCUAUUUAAGGCACUAAAGGUUUUGUAGAGUUUUAGAAUUUUUUUUUUAGGAUUUUAGAAUUUUUUAGAGUCUUUUUAGUGAUUUUGUGUUUUUUUUUUUUUUUUUUUUUAGAAUUUUAGGGAUUUUUAAAAAAAAUGUUGAUCAAAUAUUUUCUAGCUCUUUA